rnacentral:rRNA from 1 species
CAAUAGCGUAUAUUAAAGUUGCUGCAGUUAAAAAGCUCGUAGUUGCAUUUCCGAGGCAAGGGAUUAGUCCGACCUUUGGUGGGUAUUUAAUCCUCUUGCCUCGUCCUUGAGUGGUGCUUCUUGGUAUUAAGUUAUCGAGGAGAUAGCCGCUCAUCGUUUACUGUGAGAAAAUUAGGGUGUUCAAAGCAGGCUUAUGCCGUUGAAUAUAUUAGCAUGGAAUAAUAAGAUAGGACCUCGGUACUAUUUUGUUGGUUUGAGAACCAAGGUAAUGAUGAAUAGGGACAGUUGGGGGUAUUCGUAUUCAGUUGUCAGAGGUGAAAUUCUUAGAUUUACGGAAGACGAACUACUGCGAAAGCAUUUACCAAGGAUGUUUUCAUUAA